rnacentral:lncRNA from 1 species
CGCCGAGGAGCACGGGUCGCGUACGGCGCGGGGCAUGGGCAUAGCCGCCGGCAUUGGUGGCAUUUUUGCGUUGGCGUGUGUGGUGGUGCAGUGGUACCUGCAGUCGCGUGGUGGAGGCAGUGCGGCGGGCGGCCGUGGUGACAUCAACGCCGCCAUCAUCAGCCGGUUGCUGUCGGCACCCCAGGGUGAGAACGCUGCGGCGCCCAUGGGCAUGCAGUCGUGUGGAUGCAAGAUGCCAGAAGAGUCUGAUGACGCCCACCCGCGGCUUCGGAUAGCAACGUGUACACAUGCUUGGAAUAAGCCUGGCUGGGCGCUCGGGGUGGCUUGCUGCCCUCUCUGGAGGCGAGGAGCAUGCAUGGGGGUCAUUCGCGGUUCCAACCGCCAUCAUCAACCUAACUCCUCUUAUCUUGACAUCUACAGGCUACACGGUGGCGGAGCCCGAGGACCUGGGCGGCCGGCUCCUGGCCACCGCCGCCGCCACCGGCCGCCCGCUGCAGGAGCCCAAGACAGCCACCGCCGACGCCAUCACCACCGCCGCCGCCGGGCAGCAGCAGCACGCCUCGGCGCAGGGUGCAUUUAACGGUGGCAGCGGCGGCAACGGGGGCAGCGGAAAGUAGUGGGAGGUGGAUGGUGGGCGCGGUGGCGGGCGCAAGCGGGGCGCACACUUACGGUAGUCGGUCAGUCGCGGCGAGGCGGCGUUGAACGAUUAGCCCAGAGAGUCGUGGAUGGCUGAGACGUAUGCGGCAGUCUAUCUGUGCCUCUGUGGCCUAGGUGUGUGAUGGGACAAUAGCAAGGCAAGUUGAUAAAGUCCCGUAGGGUGCAGCUAAUGUGGCCUAGGUAGAAACGAGCAAGGGGAGAUGCGCGAUGCGCUUGUGGGCAGUGGGGUAGUAAGGGGCACGUGGGGUAUUCAUGCCGAGAUAUGUGCGUGGCACAGUUGCUUGACAGUUGCUUGUUACUGUUGGACUUGCUGAGACAAUUGCUCAGGCCGGCAAAAAUACGUCUUACUAGGGCGACUACGUGCGCCUUCGCAACCUAGCACCCUACCAAUCUAGAGCAUUCGCAUCUUUAGAGCACUGUUUUUGAUAGGGCGCCACGCACGCGGGCCAGCUAGGCACUGAUCAGGCGGCAGUUGAAAGGCGUUACUACUGCUGAGAGUGGGCAGGCAGGCAGGCAGGCAGGUGCACUGUGUCGCAUGCCAUUGUGGGCUGGCAUGCCUGUUGCAAAACAUGCCUGCAGCGGGUGGGGUGGGGCGGUAUGUGCCAUGCACGAGGUGAGGCUGCCGCAUGGCUAGCUACAAGAGCGCAGCGCCGGCUCCAUCUAUACUGGCGCUGCUCUUUUUGUUACUCCCUUUUAUUAGUUGCGAGGGGGGGUGCAGGGGGGAGGGUGUCCCUCCCCCCUGCAGGCGUCAAGUUCAGCGGGAUGGGAGGGGGGUGCAGGGGGGAGGGUGUCCCUGCAGACAGCUUUAGCUAGCCGGAACGUUAGUUUGCUGUAGCUGAAAGGAGCUAGCGCUAAAUCCCGGUUCUAGGGUUGUUGCCGAGCGCACGUCGGUGCUGACGCGGAAACCACCUGCGCACAGUCUCGAGCGUUUACAAUCACUCAAAUCUUCCAAGCCCUUGCCGAAGCCUCCUUGUCACUCCUCAGCAUUUCUGCCACUGAAGAAGGCCCGAGCUCGCCCUAAGACCCAGCUAGGUCUUUGAAGUAUCAUACUCAACUUGAACCCAUGGCAAUGCAGCCCGCGGUCGCGGCUUCUUCUGCUGGGCUGGCGCGUUCGACGAGUUCGAUCGGCAGCAUCAGCGCGUACGUUGGAGCAGCAGGAGCGAGCAGGCACGCGAAAGUGGGUUGUUAGGGUUCUGAGCGUGCCAUGUCCGGGCUUGCGGAAGAAAGGAUCGAGCACACCUGCAGAUGAAAUUGGUCGGCACUCGCUUGUUCCUCCAUCUGCCUCCAUAAGCCUGGCUGACUGGCUGACUGGGCCGCAGGUGGCAGCGCUGGCCCGGGCCCUCACGGGCCAUGCGCAGCCGCCAACGGCGGGUGCCGACUCAUCAUCGGUGUCAACGUCGUCGCCCAGCGGCCCCCAACAAGCUGCUGUUGCCGGUGGCGGUGAGCCCGUGGGUGCCACCGGCAAGCCCGGGGUCAGCGGCUUCAGUCCGGUCAGUGCUGAAGAAGUGGAGCUGCUGUUUGCUCCUUGGGUAGUUUGGGCAGGUCAGCUGAAACGCCACGUAAACACUAGGGGCGGCCGAAGCAAUGCGGGGGGGUUGGGCGGGUUGGGCACGGCGGUGGAGUAGGGCCCUUGACCUGUGGGUCUGGGUGGUUUUGGGCACAGACUCUUGUCUUAUGGACCCUGCUUGCUGUUGUUGUUGCCUGUACUAGCCACAACGGCACCCAGGCUACCCAGGCAUGGUCAUGCAACACCCUGCCCGUGCUGCAUCUCAUCGUGCGCGUCUAGCGCGUCACCUACUUCGGCAGCAUUGGCACCACGUUCGUUACUCGGGCUGGAAUAAUGGGGAGGGGGUUUGUAGGUUCCAGCUCAAACAAACCAGGAAGCCAAAGUAGGGGUGCUGGAGGAAGUGGCGGGGAGUUGAUUGCACAUGCACUGCGCCGGUUCCCUGUCUUUCCAUACCCGACGCAAUCGAGGCCUACCCCCUGCUGCCGGCCCGUCGCUGCACGUGCCUGUUGCACAUGCCUACUACGCGUGCUGCUGCAUGCAAAACACACGCACAUCCAGCCAAUCAAUACGCUCGCGCACUACUUGGUGUAUGUGCAUGCGCCUGUCAGUCUAUCAGGUACUACUCCUCUAUGUGCACCUACCUCGUAUGCUACCUACUGCAGGGUGGCGGUGCCUUCGGUAGAAGCAGCAUCGGCAUCCGCAGUGGCGGCUCUGGUGGUGGCUCCAGUGGUGCCAGCAACGCUGGCCCCAGCGCCAGCAGCGGUGGUGGUGGCAGCUGGGGCAGCUGGGCCCUCCUUGUCCAGGUGGGUAGUACCGUCGUCUUGAGGGCGGGAUAUUGAUAGAGUGACUUCAUGCCGUGCCGUUGCAAGUUGUACCUUCAUGCGUGUCGGUGCAAAACAUCUGCUGUCGUCGCUCGGCUGCUGCAGCAUGUUCCACGCACAUGCCAUGCGCGUAUCUGUUAAUCCUAUGCCUAACGGCUGACCACUCCGUCCGCAGACGCUGGUAUGGACCGGGGUUGCUGUGUUUGCGGCCUGGUUCAUUGCUGACAGCGUGGAAGGGGGGCUACAGUCCACCGGCAACAGCGUGCAGGCGGGGCUGCAGUCCGCCGGCAAUAGCGUGCAGGGGGGGCUGAAGGAGGGGCUGACUGAUGCCGCCAAGGAGCACGGGUCGCGUAUGGCGUGGGGCAUGGGCAUAGCCGCCGGCAUUGGUGGCAUUUCUGCGUUGGCGUGUGUGGUGGUGCAGUGGUACCUGCAGUCGCGUUAGUCACGUGGUGGAGGCGGUGCGGCGGGCGGCCGUGGCGACAUCAACGCCGCCAUCAUCAGCCGGUUGCUGUCGGCACCCCAGGGUGAGAACGCUGCGGCGCCCAUGGGCAUGCAGUUGUGUGGAUGCAAGAGGCCAGUAGAGUCGGAUGACGGCUUCGGAUAGCAACGCGUACAUAUGCUUGGAAUGAGCCUGGCUGGGCGCUCGGGGUGGCUUGCUGCCCUCUCUGGAGACGAGGAGCAUGCAUGGGGGUCAUUCGCGGUUCCAACCGCCAUCAUCAACCUAACUCCUCUUAUCUUGACAUCUACAGGCUACACGGUGGCGGAGCCCGAGGACCUGGGCGGCCGGCUCCUGGCCACCGCCGCCGCCACCGGCCGCCCGCUGCAGGAGCCCAAGACAGCCACCGCCGCCGCCAUCACCACCACCGCCGCCGGGCAGCAGCAGCACGCCUCGGUGCAGGGUGCAUUUAACGGUGGCAGCAGCGGCAACGGGGGCAGCGGAAAGUAGUGGGAGGUGGAUGGUGGGCGCGGUGGCGGGCGCAAGGGGGGCGCACACUUACGGUAGUCGGUCAGUCGCGGCGAGGCGGCGUUGAACGAUUAGCCCAGAGAGUCGUGGAUGGUUGAGACGUAUGCGGCAGUCUAUCUGUGCCUCUGUGGCCUAGGUAGAAAGGAGCGAGGGGAGAUGCGCUUGUUGGGGGGGUAGUAAGGGGCACGUGGGGUAAUCAUGCCGAGAUGUGUGCGUGGCACAGUUGCUUGACAGUUGCUUGUUACUGUUGGACUUGCUGAGACAAUUGCUCAGGCCGGCAAUAAUACGUCUUACUAGGGCGACUACGUGCGCCUUCGCAACCUAGCACCCUACCAAUCUAGAGCAUUCACAUCUUUAGAGCAUUGUUUUUGAUAGGGCGCCACGCACGCGGGCCAGCUAGGCACUGAUCAGGCGGCAGUUGAAAGGCGUUACUACUGCUGAGAGUGGGCAGGCAGGCAGGUGCACUGUGCCGCAUGCCAUUGUGGGCUGGCAUGCCUGUUGCAAAACAUGCCUGCAGCGGGUGGGGUGGGGCGGUAUGUGCCAUGCACGAGGUGAGGCUGCCGCAUGGCUAGCUACAAGAGCGCAGCGCCCGCUCCAUCUAUACCGGCGCUGCUCUUUUUGUACCUCCCUUUUAUAGUUGCGAGGGGGGGUGCAGGGGGGAGGGUGUCCCUCCCCCCUGCAGGCGUCAAGUUCAGCGGGAUGGGAGGGGGUUGCAUGGGGGAGGGUGUCCCUGCAGACAGCUUUAGCUAGCCGGAACGUUAGUUUGCUGUAGCUGAAAGGAGCUAGCGCUAAAUCCCGGUUCUAGGGUUGUUGCCGAGCGCACGUCGGUGCUGACGCGGAAACGACCGCACAGUCUCAAGCGUUUACAAACACUCAAAUCUUCCAAGCCCUUGCGGAAGCCUCCUUGUCACUCCUCAGCAUUUCUGCCACUGAAGAAGGCCCGAGCUCGCCCUAAGACCCAGCUAGGUCUUUGAAGUAUCAUACUCAACUUGAACCCAUGGCAAUGCAGCCCGCGGUCGCGGCUUCUUCUGCUGGGCUGGCGCGUUCGACGAGUUCGAUCGGCAGCAUCAGCGCGUACGUUGGAGCAGCAGGAGCGAGCAGGCACGCGAAAGUGGGUUGUUAGGGUUCUGAGCGUGCCAUGUCCGGGCUGGCGGAAGAAAGGAUCGAGCACACCUGCAGAUGAAAUUGGUCGGCACUCGCUUGUUCCUCCAUCUGCCUCCAUAAGCCUGGCUGACUGGCUGACUGGGCCGCAGGUGGCAGCGCUGGCCCGGGCCCUCACGGGCCAUGCGCAGCCGCCAACGGCGGGUGCCGACUCAUCAUCGGUGUCAACGUCGUCGCCCAGCGGCCCUCAGCAAGCUGCUGUUGCCGGUGGCGGUGAGCCUGUGGGUGCCACCGGCAAGCCCGGGGUCAGCGGCUUCAGUCAGGUCAGUGCUGAAGAAGUGGAGCUGCUGUUUGCUCCUUGGGUAGUUUGGGCAGGUCAGCUGAAACGCCACGAAAACACCAUCCAGGGGCGGCCGAAGCAAUGCGUGGGGCGGGUUGGGCACGGCGGUGGAGUCGGGCCCUUGACCUGUGGGUCUGGGUGGUCUUGGGCACAGAUAUUUGUCUUUUAGGACCCUGCUUGCUGUUGUUGUUGCCUGUAGCCCUGUGCUAGCCAUAACGGCACCCAGGCGACCCAGGCAUGGUCAUGCAACACCCUGCCCGUGAUGCAUCUCAUCGUGCGCGUCUAGCACGUCACCUACUUCGGCAGCAUUGGCACCACGUUCGUUAUUCGGGCUGGAAUAAUGGGGAGGGGGUUUGUAGGUUCCAGCUCAAACAAACCAGGAAGCCAAAGUAGGGGUGCUGGAGGAAGUGGCGGGGCGGAUUUAGAGUUGAUUGCACAUGCACUGCGCCGGUUCCCUGUCUUUCCAUACCCAACACAAUCGAGGCCUACCCCCUGCUGCCGGCCCGUCGCUGCACGUGCCUGUUGCACAUGCCUACUACGUGUGCUGCUGCAUGCAAUACACACACACACACACACACACACACACACACACACACACACACACACACGCACACGCACACGCAUGCGCACGCGCACGCGCACGCGCACGCGCACGCGCACGCGCACGCACACGCACACGCACACGCACACGCACACGCACACGCACACGCACACGCACACGCACACACACACACACACACACACACACACACACACACACACACACACACACACACACACACACAUCCAGCCAAUCGGUGUAUGUGCGCCUGUCAGUCUAUCAGGUACUACUCCUCUAUGUGCACCUACCUCGUAUGCUACCUACUGCAGGGUGGCGGUGCCUUCGGUGGAAGCAGCAACGGCAUCCCCAGUGGCGGCUCUGGUGGCGGCUCCAGUGGUGCCGGCAACGCUGGCCCCAGCGCCAGCAGCGGUGGUGGUGGCAGCUGGGGCAGCUGGGUAAGCUGGGCCCUCCUUGUCCAGGUGGGUAGUACCGUUGUCUUGAGGGCGGGAUAUUGAUAGAGUGACUUCAUGCCGUGCCGUUGCAAGUUGUACCUUCAUGCGUGUCGGUGCAAAACAUCUGCUCUAGUCGGCUGCUGCAGCAUGUUCCACGCGCAUGCCAUGCACGUAUCUGUUAUAUAAUCCUAUGUCUAAUUAGGUAGCCCACCCUUCACGCUGUCUCCAAUAAUCCAGGCCGUAAACACAGCAACCCCGGUCCAGACCAGCGUCUAACGGCUGACCACUCCGUCCGCAGACGCUGGUCUGGACCGGGGUUGCUGUGUUUGCGGCCUGGUUUAUUGGAGACAGCGUGAAGGGGGGGCUGCAGUCCGCCGGCAAUAGCGUGCAGGAGGGGCUGACUGAUGCCGCCAAGGAGCACGGGUCGCGUACGGCUUGGGGCAUGGGCAUAGCGGCCGGCAUUGGUGGCAUUUUUGCGUUGGCGUGUGUGGUGGUGCAGUGGUACCUGCAGUCGCGUUAGUCACGUGGUGGAGGCGGUGCGGCGGGCGGCCGUGGCGACAUCAACGCCGCCAUCAUCAGCCGGUUGCUGUCGGCACCCCAGGGUGAGAACGCUGCGGCGCCCAUGGGCAUGCAGUCGUGUGGAUGCAAGAGGCCAGUAGAGUCGGAUGACGCCCACCCGCGGCUUCGGAUAGCAACGUGUACACAUGCUUGGAAUAAGCCUGGCUGGGCGCUCGGGGUGGCUUGCUGCCCUCUCUGGAGGCGAGGAGCAUGCAUGGGGGUCAUUCGAGGUUCCAACCGCCACCAUCAACCUAACUCCUCUUAUCUUGACAUCUACAGGCUACACGGUGGCGGAGCCUGAGGACCUGGGCGGCCGGCUCCUGGCCACCGCCGCCGCCACCGGCCGCCCGCUGCAGGAGCCCAAGACAGCCACCGCCGACGCCAUCACCACCACCGCCGCCGGGCAGCAGCAGCACGCCUCGGUGCAGGGUGCAUUUAACGGUGGCAGCAGCGGC